rnacentral:lncRNA from 1 species
AUAGAGGGGGAAGCCACAGUUUCUUCAUUUACAAGGAUUACAGUCACCUUGCCAGUGAGUCACAAAAGCAAGCAAGCAGUCCCAUCUGAUGUGCAAAAGGCAGACGUGAAGGCAGGUGCUGGAGCUGAGAGCACAUAGAAGGGGCACCCAGCCCAGGAAAGCGAUAUUCACAGGAAGAAUUGAGGACGGUGUAACAGAUCACCUGAGAAGCAGGGAAGAUUAGAUUUUAAAUGAUGAUGGAAGAACACUCAGCAUAUUCUGGAUAUUAGAGAACUGAGGAAAUAAAGACAUGAGUCAACUUCCCAGCAAUGGGCCCAUCCAGGGUAAACUAGACAUCUAUUCAUCAGAGAGAAGAGGUGAUGAUGCAUUGCUGCCCCCACUUCUCAACAAACUCGGCAACUGAUUCACGGCUAUGGGAUGAAAUCCAAAAACCAAGGGGAUUCUCAUUCUUGAAAGAAUAAGCCAACCACUGGAAAGCCAUAAAGAGUAGACUUUGCUUGGAUUGGAAAAGAAAAUGUGAUACAUAUGCACCA